UACGUAGGGUGCAAGCGUUAAUCGGAAUUACUGGGCGUAAAGCGUGCGCAGGCGGUUUUGUAAGUCUGUCGUGAAAUCCCCGGGCUCAACCUGGGAAUUGCGAUGGAGACUGCAAGGCUAGAAUCUGGCAGAGGGGGGUAGAAUUCCACGUGUAGCAGUGAAAUGCGUAGAGAUGUGGAGGAACACCGAUGGCGAAGGCAGCCCCUGGGUCAAGAUUGACGCUCAUGCACGAAAGCGUGGGAGCAAACGAGGAUUACGAGUACCGAG
rnacentral:rRNA from 1 species